GCAGGCUGCAACUCGCCUGCAUGAAGCUGGAAUUGCUAGUAAUCGCGGAUCAGCAAGCCGCGGUGAAUACGUUCCCGGGCCUUGUACACACCGCCCGUCACACCAUGAGAGUCGGGAACACCCGAAGUCCGUAGUCUAACCGCAAGGGGGGCGCGGCCGAAGGUGGGUCCGGUAAUUGGGUGAAGUCGUAACAAGGUAUC
rnacentral:rRNA from 1 species